rnacentral:lncRNA from 1 species
GGCCGACCAUGCCAGGGCUCGCGCCCAGGAGGCGCCUUGAUCACUGGUCGGAACUUGAAUGCGCCGAGUGGGUUAUCCGAUCCUCAUCUAAGAUCAGCCGGCCGUCCGGGUUUGAGAACCCACGCGGGUGCGGAACAGAGACGAGUUCCGAUAUCACUGUUUAGCCUUUCCUACAAAGAGGGUGCAGCGCUGAGAACGCGACUCACUAAACUUAACCCAGCUUUGCCGUCAUCAAACUGAAAACUUGAUCCACCCAAGGUCGACUGACGAUCUAGACAGAUAGAGAUAGAGAGAAGAGAGAGAGAGAGAGAGAGAGAGCAGAGAGAGAGACAGAGAGAUAGAGAAAGAGAUAGAGAGAGAGAGGGAGCGUACGUACCUGUGCGCGCGAAGCGACAAAAAAUGGGGCCCACCCACAGGGCAUCAGAACAAGCUUUCUUUCGGAGUUAGUAGAACAGGUAACCUAGCGGCCGCUAAUUGCCAAGUUAGAGGUUGACCCCGGCUGGAACAGUUCUUGACGCCAUACUUUCCGUUACUUUCUCUCUCCCUGCCUUCCC